ensembl:lncRNA
GCCAAUCUGUUCUGCAUGAGAAAUGACUCUACUUGCUAGAGCUAACAAUUCCAAACUAUUUAUGUUGGUGUUUUUUUUUGUUGUUGUUUUUAAUUUAUUUUGUUUUGUGGGAAGGGAAGGGAAGGGCAGGGCAGGGCAGGGCAGGGCAGGGCAGGGCAGGGCAGGGCAGGGCAGGGCAGGGCAGGGCAGGGAAGGGAAGGGAAGGGAAGGGAAGGGAAGGGAAGGGAAGGGAAGGGAAGGGAAGGGAAGGGAAGGGAAGGGAAGGGAAUCCUUCAUUUCUUAACGAUUUGUUUUUUAAAUGAAUAUAGCCAAAUAUGUCAAACUAAUUCUGUAAUCCUUAAACUACAUUAGACAACAGAUGGUAGAUGGAACAUGAAUGGAAGAACAUAUUUGAUUACAUUAUAAAUCCAUUCAAGUUUGUCAAUUUUCAAAUUUAGUUAUAAAGCUAAAUAUUUCUGGGCACAACUUCCUAUAUUUAAGAGCCCUGUGAUAUCAACACCGUUUUCAGAGAUCUUUACAUCAGCAAUAUCAAGUCUGGUCAGCAACCAGCUCCUUUUAAAUGAUCAGUAAGAGACCUAUUCCGUGUUAAAGGAACACCAAAACAUUCAUGAAUUCCAGAUCAUUUAUAUGGUCAUUUAUACUUCUUACAGUUUUGUUUGUUUGUUUUCUUUCAAGUACUGUUCUCUCUUCACACUGUGCAUAAGUGUACAUUAAUGACACUGAAAAUGAGUGCAACAGACUUCACUAUUUCUGAAGUCAAGAGGAUGAACAUGUUUUAAAAAAAAAAAAGGAAGAAAAAAAAAAGAGUAUAAGCUCUUCUUAUUUCUUACUGUUUUGUUGUUGUUGUUUGCUUGCUUUUUGUGUUUUGUUGUUGUUGUUUUGAGAUAGUAUAAACCCCUGAGAAAUAAGGACAAAACUACAACAACAACAACAAUUUAAUUUUAAACAAAAGACAUUUUAAUCUAUUAUUAGAUGGUGAUCAAUUCAGAGUCAUAUCUUGGUCACAAUUUUAAUGAAGCACUUUGACUAACAAGCAAUGAAAAAAUAUAAAUCCAUGUUGUGGGGAGGCUACCUCUAGCAUAUUUUACAUGGCAAAAUUGUAUUACAAAUAAGUAUCUAUAUUUGCAUUGUAUAAUCCGUAUAUUGUUCAUGGUACAAUUUUUUAAAACAUGUCAAAUAACAUAUUUUGUGUUCACUGAUUGUUUUCUACAUAAUUUUUAGCUUACUUUCACAUAUCUAUACAGCUAUCUUGAGCCAUUCCUUCUUUUGUUUAAAAUUUAUUCUAGCACUAUGACUGAAAAGAACUACCACAAUCGUGGGAUGUUAUUUAAAAUCGGCAAAGGCUAAACUGACAGCUUGGGCAAAAUGCAAAUCGCUAAGAAGUUUGUCAUAGAAAGGAGUGUAAACAGAUGGUUUGGAGUGAGCUGAAGUAUUGUUGAAUUUCUAUUUUGGGAUGAUGGAAAAGCUCCUAUUUAAGAUUAUUUUAAUGGAAAGAAGCAAAAUACUGACUUUAAAAAGUCUUCUGUAUGCUAGAUCAUGGGAGAUGAAUGAACUUUUUCAUAAAUUUUACUUGAAGUGCUUUGCUAAGAUCCUGCAGCUGGUCAUGAAAUGCUGGGUCCUUGCAUCUGCAUGCAGCACUCCAAUGUUCUGUAGAGAUAUGGAGGAAAGGCACCAUAUUUCUGGGGGAGAACAAGAAUAAAAAUCACCUCAUCUUUGCUACUGCCCUCA